GGCGAGGGCUGGGAAGCCUUGUUCUGGUUGCAGUAGGAAAGUCGAGUCGAAACCAAGGCUGGGUUGGCCUCAUUAGAGCAGGACACAGGCAGCAAAACAUCUCCUUUCCCAAGAUUCCUUUCUUGUUGCUGAGGAAGCAGUAGUUAUAAUAAUGGCCUUCUGGAGACAUUGUGCCAAGAUUGUGUAUUUCUGCAUGUGUAAGAGGGACUGAGGAGUGAGCAUCAACAGUGUCCCUUGUUCUAGAGUUGGACAGCCCCAUCUCCAGUGCUAGAAGGAAACCGUUUCUAUCCCCAGAUUUACCCAAAUCUUUAGUCCUUGCCCGAACACAGACUUGAGCUGAUGACCUGGUUUCAGCUGACCUUGAAAUAAGCAGCCUCUGUGACCUUCAAGCAAUUACGUGACUCAGACAGCUGGCUAUACUGUCUGCUGGCU